AUACAGAGGGUGCGAGCGUUAAUCGGAAUUACUGGGCGUAAAGUGCGCGUAGGCGGUUUGUUAAGUCGGAUGUGAAAUCCCCGGGCUCAACCUGGGAACUGCAUUCGAAACUGGCAGGCUAGAGUAUGGUAGAGGGAAGUGGAAUUCCGGGUGUAGCGGUGAAAUGCGUAGAGAUCCGGAGGAACACCAGUGGCGAAGGCGGCUUCCUGGACCAAUACUGACGCUGAGGCGCGAAAGCGUGGGGAGCAAACAGGAUUAGAAACCCCGGUAGUCC
rnacentral:rRNA from 1 species